UACAGAGACUGCAAGCGUUAUUCGGAUUCAUUGGGCGUAAAGGGUGCGUAGGUGGCGCCGUAAGUCAGGUGUGAAAUCUCGGGGCUUAACCCCGAAACUGCACUUGAUACUGCGGUGCUCGAGUACUGGAGAGGAGAUUGGAAUUUACGGUGUAGCAGUGAAAUGCGUAGAUAUCGUAAGGAAGACCAGUGGCGAAGGCGAAUCUCUGGACAGUUACUGACACUGAGGCACGAAGGCCAGGGGAGCAAACGGG
rnacentral:rRNA from 1 species